AAAAAAAGGUUUCCAUUGCUCGCCAGAUUACUGAUCUUUCCAUCUUCAACCUCUCAUCUUUUUCUUGGCAAAAAUGAAGCUCGUCUUUGCAACCUUCAUGCUUGUUUGCCUUGUCCUCAGCUCCUCUUUCUUUGAGGCAUCAAUGGCUGGGUCUCGUACGAUCCUUACUUUUUUCAACUAGCUACUCUUUUUGUGUAAUUAAUUAACCAUGUUUCUCUAGAGUUCAUAAUAUUCUUCUUUCAUUUUUCUUUCCUCUCUUAAUUUGUUUCUAAAACUAGGAAUAUAUGGCAAAUUUGAGUUAGGUCAAUUAGUCAGGAUAAUGUGUUCACUUUCUUACAGUCGAGUAAGAGUACCUUUUUAUAGAUUAAAGUAGUUUAGAAUAUAACUUUGUUGAAACUAAUAUAUAUAUAUAUAUAUAUAUAUAUAUAUAUAUAUAUAUAUAUAUAUGGUGUUCUAAUUAACCUACCUAUUUGCAUGAAUUUUGUUAUGAAUUUUGCAGCAUUUUGUGACUCGAAGUGUGGGGUGAGAUGUUCAAAAGCUGGAUACAAGGAAAGGUGCUUGAAGUACUGUGGAAUAUGUUGUGAGAAAUGUCACUGCGUUCCAUCGGGGACUUAUGGGAACAAGGACGAGUGCCCUUGCUAUAGGGACCUCAAAAACUCCAAGGGCGAGGACAAGUGCCCUUAAUUGAUUCAUUUUCUUUUGUGGUCAUUUGUGAUGGUGUUGGUAUGCAUUUGUGCCUGGGAGGUACCCUACAAAAUAUGAACGAAAGUUGAUAUUAUUGUGUAACUUUUAUAUAUU
rnacentral:lncRNA from 1 species